AGUGAACGCUGGCGGUAGGCCUAACACAUGCAAGUCGAACGGCAGCACAGUAAGAGCUUGCUCUUACGGGUGGCGAGUGGCGGACGGGUGGGGAAUACAUCGGAAUCUACUUUUUCGUGGGGGAUAACGUAGGGAAACUUACGCUAAUACCGCAUACGACCUACGGGUGAAAGCAGGGGAUCUUCGGACCUUGCGCGAUUGAAUGAGCCGAUGUCGGAUUAGCUAGUUGACGGGGUAAAGGCCCACCAAGGCGACGAUCCGUAGCUGGUCUGAGAGGAUGAUCAGCCACACUGGAACUGAGACACGGUCCAGACUCCUACGGGAGGCAGCAGUGGGGAAUAUUGGACAAUGGGCGCAAGCCUGAUCCAGCCAUACCGCGUGGGUGAAGAAGGCCUUCGGGUUGUAAAGCCCUUUUGUUGGGAAAGAAAAGCAGCAGGUUAAUACCCCGCUGUUCUGACGGUACCCAAAGAAUAAGCACCGGCUAACUUCGUG
rnacentral:rRNA from 1 species